rnacentral:tRNA from 1 species
GCCCGAAUGGCGGAAUCGGUAGACGCAAGGGACUUAAAAUUCCUCGACCGCUAGGUCGUGCCGGUUCGAGUCCGGCUUCGGGCACCA